GCCAUGUGACUUUCUUCAGUUAGUGG
rnacentral:piRNA from 1 species